rnacentral:rRNA from 1 species
CCUACGGGAGGCAGCAGUAAGGAAUAUUGGUCAAUGGACGGAAGUCUGAACCAGCCAUGCCGCGUGCAGGAAGACGGCCCUACGGGUUGUAAACUGCUUUUGCAGGGGAAUAAACCCCGAUACGUGUAUCGGGCUGAAUGUACUCUGAGAAUAAGGAUCGGCUAACUCCGUGCCAGCAGCCGCGGUAAUACGGAGGAUCCAAGCGUUAUCCGGAUUUAUUGGGUUUAAAGGGUGCGUAGGUGGCCUGUUAAGUCAGGGGUGAAAGACGGUAGCUUAACUAUCGCAGUGCCCUUGAUACUGAUGGGCUUGAAUAAACUAGAGGUAGGCGGAAUGUGACAAGUAGCGGUGAAAUGCAUAGAUAUGUCACAGAACACCAAUUGCGAAGGCAGCUUACUAUGGUUUUAUUGACACUGAGGCACGAAAGCGUGGGGAUCAAACAGGAUUAGAUACCCUGGUAGUCCACGCCCUAAACGAUGAAUACUCGAUGUUGGCGAUAUACGGUCAGCGUCUAAGCGAAAGCGUUAAGUAUUCCACCUGGGGAGUACGCCCGCAAGGGUGAAACUCAAAUGAAUUGACGGCUGNGNGNGCGAGACGACGACGAGGGAGGAGG